rnacentral:rRNA from 1 species
UGGGGAAUUUUGGACAAUGGGGGCAACCCUGAUCCAGCCAUCCCGCGUGUGCGAUGAAGGCCUUCGGGUUGUAAAGCACUUUUGGCAGGGAAGAAACAGCCUGGGAUAAUACCCCGGGCGACUGACGGUACCUGCAGAAUAAGCACCGGCUAACUACGUGCCAGCAGCCGCGGUAAUACGUAGGGUGCAAGCGUUAAUCGGAAUUACUGGGCGUAAAGCGUGCGCAGGCGGUUCGGAAAGAAAGGUGUGAAAUCCCAGGGCUUAACCUUGGAACUGCACUUUUAACUACCGAGCUAGAGUACGUCAGAGGGGGGUAGAAUUCCACGUGUAGCAGUGAAAUGCGUAGAGAUGUGGAGGAAUACCGAUGGCGAAGGCAGCCCCCUGGGAUGAUACUGACGCUCAUGCACGAAAGCGUGGGGAGCAAACAGGAUUAGAUACCCUGGUAGUCCACGCCCUAAACGAUGUCAACUAGUUGUUGGGGAUUCAUUUUCCUUAGUAACGUAGCUAACGCGUGAAAGUUGACCGCCUGGGGGAGUACGGUCGCAAGAUUAAAACUUAAAUGAAUUGACGGGG